CGAAGUUUAUUUUGGACGCUUUGAAAGCAUCAUUGUAUCUUUAUCACAAGCCGGAAAGAGAGUGAAUGUUUUGAAAACAAACUUAAUCUUCUUCCAAAAGAAACUUGAUAGUGAAGUGUAUUUUAAUGCGAACAAAAGACUUUGACUUACUGAAACGGGAAAUCAACAGAAGUGUCGGGAUAUCGAAGUGUUGGUCUCAUCAGGUGGCCGUGUACGCAUCACAUCUCCAUCUCGUUUGCCCACGUUUCAGAGGUGAAACGUUGAACACGACAUUGAGAGACACCGCGUUUAAUCGUGCUCGCGCGGAUUGAUUGACGCUCUGGAACGAUCGCCCGUCACUUGAUUCGGCACUCCCGAUACUCGUUGGCACGCGGAAUUUACUUUUGUCGGGUGAAAAGAUGCAACGAACGCGGAGCAUCUACGGCAUUCGAGCGUGAUGACAAAUGACAUGAAGCUACCGCGAACUAGCACUAUGCGAAUGUAAAUAGAACACUGUGAUUGGGCGAGUAGGUGGCUGCAUUGCGUGUCUCGAUAAUCUUCGAGAUUCUCAAUACUGCGAUGUACGCUACUGUCAGUCAAGAGACGAAUGGCGGUGGAUGUUGGCACGUAUCUGGGGAGCUACCUCGUACUUCGCAUGAUUUCGGAUCAUCGACGAGUCUCACACGUGAAAUAUCGUCGCCGGGGAUGCCGUGAGUAAAUCUGGCGCAUUCGUUAUGGAAAAUAUCGUAAUCGAAAUUCAUAUCAUUGGACUGUGGCUCUUCCUCCGAUUCGCCAAAUGAUUGAAGGAAGUCUCGGAGCACUCGUUCAUCAUAUAGCAAUACGGAGUUCUUCAAGUUGCGAAAGGGUAACCGGAACAAACAAGGACAGAGCACACUCAUAGCGCUAAAUAGCGUCUCCCCGAACGCAGCCAGAGAAG